UGGUGGAGCGGUUUGUCUGCUUAAUUGCGAUAACGAACGAGACCUUAACCUGCUAAAUAGCCCGUAUUGCUUUGGCAGUACGCUGGCUUCUUAGAGGGACUAUCGGCUCAAGCCGAUGGAAGUUUGAGGCAAUAACA
rnacentral:rRNA from 1 species